rnacentral:tRNA from 1 species
AAAAUCCGUCGAACUUUGAAAUCGUGAGGGUUCAAGUCCCUCUAUCCC